GAUGAACGCUGGCGGCGUGCCUAAUACAUGCAAGUCGAGCGAACGGACGAGAAGCUUGCUUCUCUGAUGUUAGCGGCGGACGGGUGAGUAACACGUGGAUAACCUACCUAUAAGACUGGGAUAACUUCGGGAAACCGGAGCUAAUACCGGAUAAUAUUUUGAACCGCGUGGUUCAAAAGUGAAAUACGGUCUUGCUGUCACUUCUCGAUGGAUCCGCGCUGCAUUAGCUAGUUGGUAAGGUAACGGCUUACCAAGGCAACGUGGCAUAGCCGACCGGAUAGGGUGGUCGGCCGCACUGGAACUGUGACACGGUCCAGAGGCCUACGGGAGGCACCAGUAGGGAAUCUUCCGCAAUGGGCGAAGGCCUGACGGAGCAGCGCCGCGUGAGUGAGGAAGAUCUUCGGAUCGUAAAACUCUGUUAUUAGGGAAGAACAUAUGUGUAAGUAACUGUGCACAUCUUGACGGUACCUAAUCAGAGAGCCACGGCUAACUACGUG
rnacentral:rRNA from 1 species